UGCAGUCGAGCGAACAGAUGAGAAGCUUGCUUCUCUGAUGUUAGCGGCGGACGGGUGAGUAACACGUGGGUAACCUACCUAUAAGACUGGGAUAACUCCGGGAAACCGGGGCUAAUACCGGAUAAUAUUUUGAACCGCAUGGUUCAAUAGUGAAAGACGGUUUCGGCUGUCACUUAUAGAUGGACCCGCGCCGUAUUAGCUAGUUGGUAAGGUAACGGCUUACCAAGGCGACGAUACGUAGCCGACCUGAGAGGGUGAUCGGCCACACUGGAACUGAGACACGGUCCAGACUCCUACGGGAGGCAGCAGUAGGGAAUCUUCCGCAAUGGGCGAAAGCCUGACGGAGCAACGCCGCGUGAGUGAUGAAGGUCUUCGGAUCGUAAAACUCUGUUGUUAGGGAAGAACAAAUUUGUUAGUAACUGAACAAGUCUUGACGGUACCUAACCAGAAAGCCACGGCUAACUACGUGCCAGCAGCCGCGGUAAUACGUAGGUGGCAAGCGUUAUCCGGAAUUAUUGGGCGUAAAGCGCGCGUAGGCGGUUUCUUAAGUCUGAUGUGAAAGCCCACGGCUCAACCGUGGAGGGUCAUUGGAAACUGGGAAACUUGAGUGCAGAAGAGGAGAGUGGAAUUCCAUGUGUAGCGGUGAAAUGCGCAGAGAUAUGGAGGAACACCAGUGGCGAAGGCGGCUCUCUGGUCUGUAACUGACGCUGAUGUGCGAAAGCGUGGGGAUCAAACAGGAUUAGAUACCCUGGUAGUCCACGCCGUAAACGAUGAGUGCUAAGUGUUAGGGGUUUCCGCCCCUUAGUGCUGCAGCUAACGCAUUAAGCACUCCGCCUGGGGAGUACGACCGCAAGGUUGAAACUCAAGGAAUUG
rnacentral:rRNA from 2 species